rnacentral:rRNA from 1 species
GGAAUCUUGGACAAUGGGGGCAACCCUGAUCCAGCGACGCCGCGUGGGUGAUGAAGGCCUUCGGGUUGUAAAGCACUUUCAGCGAGGAGGAAGGGGUUGUAGUUAAUAGCUGCAAUUUUUGACGUUACUCGCAGAAGAAGCACCGGCUAACUCCGUGCCAGCAGCCGCGGUAAUACGGAGGGUGCAAGCGUUAAUCGGAAUUACUGGGCGUAAAGCGCACGUAGGCGGUUUGUUAAGUUGGAUGUGAAAGCCCCGGGCUCAACCUGGGAAUUGCAUUCAAGACUGGCAAGCUAGAGUAUGUGAGAGGGGGGUAGAAUUCCAAGUGUAGCGGUGAAAUGCGUAGAGAUUUGGAGGAAUACCAGUGGCGAAGGCGGCCCCCUGGCACAAUACUGACGCUCAGGUGCGAAAGCGUGGGGAGCAAAC